rnacentral:rRNA from 1 species
GCAUCGGGAUUGAAGCUUGCUUCAAUUGCCGGCGACCGGCGCACGGGUGCGUAACGCGUAUGUAACCUACCUAUAACAGGGGCAUAACACUGAGAAAUUGGUACUAAUUCCCCAUAAUAUUCGGAGAGGCAUCUCUCCGGGUUGAAAACUCCGGUGGUUAUAGAUGGACAUGCGUUGUAUUAGCUAGUUGGUGAGGUAACGGCUCACCAAGGCAACGAUACAUAGGGGGACUGAGAGGUUAACCCCCCACACUGGUACUGAGACACGGACCAGACUCCUACGGGAGGCAGCAGUGAGGAAUAUUGGUCAAUGGACGCAAGUCUGAACCAGCCAUGCCGCGUGCAGGAAGACGGCUCUAUGAGUUGUAAACUGCUUUUGUACGAGGGUAAACUCACCUACGUGUAGGUGACUGAAAGUAUCGUACGAAUAAGGAUCGGCUAACUCCGUGCCAGCAGCCGCGGUAAUACGGAGGAUUCAAGCGUUAUCCGGAUUUAUUGGGUUUAAAGGGUGCGUAGGCGGUUUGAUAAGUUAGAGGUGAAAUCCCGGGGCUUAACUCCGGAACUGCCUCUAAUACUGUUAGACUAGAGAGUAGUUGCGGUAGGCGGAAUGUAUGGUGUAGCGG